UGAGCUUGAGCAGCUGCUGCUGGAGCUGCUUGAGUUGCUAUCUUAUCAUAUUAAUGGUUUAAGGUCCUUAGGCUAUCCCAGAUAAUUUUGCAAUUCUCAGAGGUAAAUUAAAUUGGUUGAAUGAAUCAAUUAUAUAGAUGUUUCCAUUCCUUAUCACUACUUUCAUAAUGUGCAGAAUUUCUUCCUCGUGGAAAGCAUUUUCAUAUUUCAUAGCAAGUGUACGUACUUUUUAUAUUUUCACAUUUUCAUAUUUCAUAGCAUGUGUAAGAAAAUGAAUUAUUUCAGAUGUACGUACUUGAUAAGAGGGCGAGCCAAUGAAACCAGCAGCGAACAUAGAAAUUGUCUAAAGUAGGGCCUUAAGGUCUCAGCAGAUGGAAUCAUAAUUUCUGGUCAUUCUCUUGCCAUCGAUGAAUCUAGCAUGACUGGGGAAAGCAAGAUUGUAAGUUAUUUAGAAUCAACACAGAAUGGGGAUUGUUGAUGGCAAGUAUCUCGGAAGUAUUUGAGCAUUUAGUUUUUUAUGUGAUUUAUUUAAAUUAAUUCACCAUCAAAAAAAUAUAUAAAUGUGUAUGUAUCAUAUUUAUAAUCACCUAAUUUCAAAUUCAACCCAGUGGGAUUCAUUUUAUGUCUUUACUCAUUUCAGCUGUGCUCUAGCAACAAUGAAUUGUACUCUCCUUCACAAGCUCUGGUCAGGACCCAUAUGGUGUGGAAGAAGGACAAGAAGAGAAUCAGGAGAGUGAGGUGCACCUGCUAUUUCCCUUCCCACUGCAGGCAUCCGUAGUGUGUGUGUGUGUGUGUGUGUGUGUGUGUGUUGGGUGGGGGGAGCCAUCCUAACAAUAACUCUUUGGUCCUUGUGGAAACUCAGAAAUGAAUGUAUAUUUAAGAAUGCAGCACCAGAAUUGUAUAUUUUACACUCCAAUUUUAUUUACUAAUUUUAGGAUUGAUUAUCAGGUUGAUAUUUUGUAUUACAUAUGUCGAAUGGAGGGAAUAUAUUUUGUAUUACAUAUUUUGUAUUACUAAAUUAUUGAGGUUGGAAUA